UACGUAGGGGGCAAGCGUUGUCCGGAAUUAUUGGGCGUAAAGCGCGCGCAGGCGGUUCAUUAAGUCUGGUGUUUAACCCCGGGGCUCAACCCCGGGUCGCACUGGAAACUGGUGGACUUGAGUACAGAAGAGGAAAGUGGAAUUCCACGUGUAGCGGUGAAAUGCGUAGAGAUGUGGAGGAACACCAGUGGCGAAGGCGACUUUCUGGUCUGUAACUGACGCUGAGGCGCGAAAGCGUGGGGAGCAAACAGG
rnacentral:rRNA from 1 species